AGAGCGCAAGGGGAAUGCCUUGGCAUCAGGAGCCGACGAAGGACGUGACAAGCUGCGAUAAGCUGCGGUGAGCUGCACAUAAGCUUUGACCCGCAGAUUUCCGAAUGGGGAAACCCGGCAGAGCAAUACUCUGUCAGCGUGCGUUGAAUCAAAUAGGCGUACGCGGGGAACCGCCUGAACUGAAACAUCUAAGUAGGGCGAGGAAGAGAAAUCAACCGAGAUUCCGCUAGUAGUGGCGAGCGAACGCGGAAGAGGGCAAACCGGAGGAUUUAUCCUCCGGGGUUGUGGACAGUUUUUUAGCAACUGGAACUAGGAGAACGGUAUGGGAAGGCCGGCCAUAGCGGGUGAUAGCCCCGUAUCCGAAAGGGAAGGUUGUGCGACUGGAUCCAGAGUACCGCCGGACACGUGAAACCCGGUGGGAAGCUGGGGGGACCACCCUCCAACCCUAAAUACUACCUGAUGACCGAUAGAGGAGCAGUACCGUGAGGGAAAGGUGAAAAGGACCCCGGGAGGGGAGUGAAAGAGAACCUGAAACCUUGUGCUUACAAGCACUCAAAGCCCGUUAAAGGGUGAUGAGGUACCUUUUGUAGAAUGGUCCGGCGAGUUAUUGUUACUGGCAAGCUUAAGGCAUUCAGUGCCGGAGGCGCAGGGAGACCGAGUCUGAAUAGGGCGUAUGAAGUCAGUGGCAAUAGACCCGAAACCGGGUGACCUAUCCAUGGGCAGGUUGAAGUGGGGGUAAAACCCCAUGGAGGACCGAACGCACGCCCGUUGCAAUGGUCGGCGAUGACCUGUGGAUAGCGGUGAAAUUCCAAUCGAACUCGGAGAUAGCUGGUUCUCCCCGAAAUAGCUUUAGGGCUAGCGUCGAGGUAAAGUCGUGUGAAGGUAGAGCACUGAAUAUGUGAUGGCCCCAUCUCGGGGUACUGAACAUAAUCAAACUCCGAAUGUCACAAAGAUAUACUCGGCAGUCAGACAGUGGGUGAUAAGGUCCAUUGUCAAAAGGGAAACAGCCCAGACCAUCAGCUAAGGUCCCAAAAUAUAUACUAAGUGGAAAAGGAUGUGGAGAUGUCCAGACAACUAGGAGGUUGGCUCAGAAGCAGCCAUCCUUUAAAGAGUGCGUAACAGCUCACUAGUCGAAUGACUCUGCGCCGAUAAUUUACCGGGGCUAAGUAUAUUACCGAAGCUAUGGAUUUACGCGUAAGCGUGAGUGGUAGGGGAGCGUUCUAUGUGCGGAGAAGCGGUACCGUAAGGAGCCGUGGAGCGCAUAGAAGAGAGAAUGCCGGUGUGAGUAGCGAAACGUGGGUGAGAAUCCCACGCACCGAAAACCCAAGGUUUCCAGAGGAAGGUUCGUCCGCUCUGGGUAAGUCGGGACCUAAGGCGAGGCCGAGAGGCGUAGUCGAUGGACAACAGGUAGAGAUUCCUGUACUUACGGUAUGAAUGAUGGAGUGACGGAGAAGGCUAGCGGAUCCUGCUGAUGGAAAUGCAGGUGCAAGCGAGGUAGCCGACAGCCAGGCAAAUCCGGCUGUCGAAAGGCAAAGGCGUGAGGCGUAUGGAAAGCUGCGGCAAGUACAGAAGUCCGUGAAGCCAGCUUCCAAGAAAAGCUUCUAGUGAUAAUCAUACAGUAACCCGUACCGAAAAUGGACACACAUGGGUGAGGAGAGAAUCCUAAGGUGAGCGAGAGAACUAUAGCUAAGGAACUCUGCAAAAUGACUCCGUAACUUAGGGAUAAGGAGUGCUCAUAGAGAUAUGAGCCGCAGUGAAACGGCCCAAGCGACUGUUUACCAAAAACACAGCUCUAUGCUAAGUCGAAAGACGACGUAUAUGGGGUGACGCCUGCCCGGUGCUGGAAGGUUAAGAGGAUGUGUCAGCGCAAGCGAAGCAUUGAAUUGAAGCCCCAGUAAACGGCGGCCGUAACUAUAACGGUCCUAAGGUAGCGAAAUUCCUUGUCAGGUAAGUUCUGACCCGCACGAAAGGCGUAACGAUUUGGGCGCUGUCUCAGCUGUAGACUCGGUGAAGUCUUAGUACCUGUGAAGAUGCAGGUUACCCGCGACUAGACGGAAAGACCCCAUGGAGCUUUACUGUAGCUUGAUAUUGGACUUUGAUGCAAGAUGUACAGGAUAGGUAGGAGACUGAGAGACAUGCACGCCAGUGUGUGAGGAGUCAAUGUUGGGAUACUACUCUUCUUGUAUUGGAGUUCUAACCGGAUGCCAUGGAACUGGCAACGGGACAGUGUCAGGUGGGCAGUUUGACUGGGGCGGUCGCCUCCCAAAGAGUAACGGAGGCGCCCAAAGAUACCCUCAGCUUGGAUGGAAAUCAAGCGCAGAGUGCAAAGGCAUAAGGGUGUUUGACUGCGAGACCUACAAGUCGAGCAGGGACGAAAGUCGGGCUUAGUGAUCCGGCGGUGCUGAAUGGAAAGGCCGUCGCUCAACGGAUAAAAGCUACCCUGGGGAUAACAGGCUGAUCUCCCCCAA
rnacentral:rRNA from 1 species